rfam:Leptospirillum ferriphilum ML-04, complete genome.
UCGACCCUGCACUGUUCGAGAAACGGUUAAAUUUGUUACCUACAUCAUUUUGAGAAAUGGCAUGUCAGUGCGCGUGGUGUGCAUGCCCGGUCCCGGGAAGCCUGAAGCCGCCUACAGUGCCGUACACCUUGUCACGCUAGGUAUCUCAAGUGAAACCGUAACGGCAGAUGCGGGGUUUUG